rnacentral:sRNA from 1 species
UAAUUACCGGAAGGGGAAAUGCUAUGUAUAUGGACGCCGUUGUUAUCGCAGGUAUUGCCACUGUACUGCUGAUGGUUGGCUUUUUCGUUGGUGUGGGCAUCUUCGUCAUUAAAGACCAGAAGGAGCACGGACACCGGGAUACAAAAGAAGGGAAGCACGGACAGAAGCCGAUCUGAGGCGUCUUUG